rnacentral:rRNA from 1 species
AUUGAACGCUGGCGGCAUGCCUAACACAUGCAAGUCGAACGAGUGGCGGACGGGUGAGUAAUGUCUGGGAAACUGCCUGAUGGAGGGGGAUAACUACUGGAAACAGUGGCUAAUACCGCAUACCAUCAGAUGUGCCCAGAUGGGAUUAGCUAGUUGGUGGGGUAACGGCUCACCAAGGCGACGAUCCCUAGCUGGUCUGAGAGGAUGACCAGCCACACUGGAACUGAGACACGGUCCAGACUCCUACGGGAGGCAGCAGUGGGGAAUAUUGGACAAUGGGGGAAAGCCUGAUGCAGCCAUGCCGCGUGUAUGAAGAAGGCCUUCGGGUUGUAAAGUACUUUUAGCGGGGAGGCGUUACCCGCAGAAGAAGCACCGGCUAACUACGUGCCAGCAGCCGCGGUAAUAC